CAGUAGGGAAUCUUCCGCAAUGGACGAAAGUCUGACGGAGCAACGCCGCGUGAGUGAUGAAGGUUUUCGGAUCGUAAAGCUCUGUUGUUAGGGAAGAACAAGUGCCGUUCAAAUAGGGCGGCACCUUGACGGUACCUAACCAGAAAGCCACGGCUAACUACGUGCCAGCAGCCGCGGUAAUACGUAGGUGGCAAGCGUUGUCCGGAAUUAUUGGGCGUAAAGGGCUCGCAGGCGGUUUCUUAAGUCUGAUGUGAAAGCCCCCGGCUCAACCGGGGAGGGUCAUUGGAAACUGGGGAACUUGAGUGCAGAAGAGGAGAGUGGAAUUCCACGUGUAGCGGUGAAAUGCGUAGAGAUGUGGAGGAACACCAGUGGCGAAGGCGACUCUCUGGUCUGUAACUGACGCUGAGGAGCGAAAGCGUGGGGAGCGAACAGGAUUAGAUACCCUGGUAGUCCACGCCGUAAACGAUGAGUGCUAAGUGUUAGGGGGUUUCCGCCCCUUAGUGCUGCAGCUAACGCAUUAAGCACUCCGCCUGGGGAGUACGGUCGCAAGACUGAAACUCAAAGGAAUUGACGGGGGCCCGCACAAGCGGUGGAGCAUGUGGUUUAAUUCGAAGCAACGCGAAGAACCUUACCAGGUCUUGACAUCCUCUGACAAUCCUAGAGAUAGGACGUCCCCUUCGGGGGCAGAGUGACAGGUGGUGCAUGGUUGUCGUCAGCUCGUGUCGUGAGAUGUUGGGUUAAGUCCCGCAACGAGCGCAACCCUUGAUCUUAGUUGCCAGCAUUCAGUUGGGCACUCUAAGGUGACUGCCGGUGACAAACCGGAGGAAGGUGGGGAUGACGUCAAAUCAUCAUGCCCCUUAUGAACUGGGCUACACACGUGCUACAAUGGACAGAAACAAAGGGCCAGGCGAAACCGCCUAAGU
rnacentral:rRNA from 1 species